GGACCCGCACAAGUAGUGGAGCAUGUGGUUUAAUUCGAAGAUACGCGCAGAACCUUACCAACACUUGACAUGUUCGUCGCGACUCUAAGAGAUUAGAGUUUUCGGUUCGGCCGGACGAAACACAGGUGCUGCAUGGCUGUCGUCAGCUCGUGUCGUGAGAUGUUGGGUUAAGUCCCGCAACGAGCGCAACCCUCACUUUUAGUUGCCAUCAUUAAGUUGGGCACUCUGAAAGAACUGCCAGUGAUAAGCUGGAGGAAGGUGGGGAUGACGUCAAGUCCUCAUGGCCCUUACGUGUUGGGCUACACACGUGCUACAAUGGUAUUUACAACAGGAAGCAAGACUGCGAAGUUAAGCAAAUCCCUAAAAGAUACCUCAGUUCGGAUUGCACUCUGCAACUCGAGUGCAUGAAGCUGGAAUUACUAGUAAUCGU
rnacentral:rRNA from 1 species